GACGAACGCUGGCGGCGUGCUUAACACAUGCAAGUCGAACGGAAAGGCUCUGCUUUUGUGGGGUGCUCGAGUGGCGAACGGGUGAGUAACACGUGAGUAACCUGCCCUUGACUUUGGGAUAACUUCAGGAAACUGGGGCUAAUACCCGAUAGGAGCUCCUGCUGCAUGGUGGGGGUUGGAAAGUUUCGGCGGUUGGGGAUGGACUCGCGGCUUAUCAGCUUGUUGGUGGGGUAGUGGCUUACCAAGGCUUUGACGGGUAGCCGGCCUGAGAGGGUGACCGGCCACAUUGGGACUGAGAUACGGCCCAGACGCCUACGGGAGGCAGCAGUGGGGAAUAUUGCACGAUGGGCGGAAGCCUGAUGCAGCAACGCCGCGUGCGGGAUGACGGCCUUCGGGUUGUAAACCGCUUUCGCCUGUGACGAAGCGUGAGAGACGGUAAUGGGUAAAGAAGCACCGGCUAACUACGUG
rnacentral:rRNA from 1 species